rnacentral:rRNA from 1 species
UACGUAGGGGGCAAGCGUUGUCCGGAAUCAUUGGGCGUAAAGAGCGCGUAGGCGGCCCUGUAAGUCCGCUGUGAAAGUCAAGGGCUCAACCCUUGGAUGCCGGUGGAUACUGCAGGGCUAGAGUCCGGAAGAGGCGAGUGGAAUUCCUGGUGUAGCGGUGAAAUGCGCAGAUAUCAGGAGGAACACCGACGGCGAAGGCAGCUUACUGGGCCGAUACUGACGCUGAGGAGCGAAAGCGUGGGGAGCGAACAGG